AACGAACGCUGGCGGCAUGCCUAACACAUGCAAGUCGAACGAAGGCUUCGGCCUUAGUGGCGCACGGGUGCGUAACGCGUGGGAAUCUGCCCUUUGGUUCGGAAUAACAGCUGGAAACGGCUGCUAAUACCGGAUGAUGACGAAAGUCCAAAGAUUUAUCGCCAGAGGAUGAGCCCGCGUUGGAUUAGGUAGUUGGUGGGGUAAAGGCCUACCAAGCCGACGAUCCAUAGCUGGUCUGAGAGGAUGAUCAGCCACACUGGGACUGAGACACGGCCCAGACUCCUACGGGAGGCAGCAGUGGGGAAUAUUGGACAAUGGGCGCAAGCCUGAUCCAGCAAUGCCGCGUGAGUGAUGAAGGUCCUAGGGUUGUAAAGCUCUUUUACCCGGGAAGAUAAUGACUGUACCGGGAGAAUAAGCCCCGGCUAACUCCGUG
rnacentral:rRNA from 1 species